rnacentral:tRNA from 1 species
GCCGAUGUGUUGGAACCGGUAGACAAGAAGGUCUCAAAAACCUUUGGGAGCAAUCCCGUGUGGGUUCAACUCCCACCAUCGGCA